rnacentral:lncRNA from 1 species
UGUAUGUCCUCCUCUGUGAAGUGUCUGUUCAGGUCCUUGGCCCAUUUGUUGAUUGGGUUAUUUGUUAUCUUAUUGUUUAAUUUUUUGAGUUCUUUGUAUAUUCUGGAUAUUAGGGCUCUAUCUGAAGUGUGAGGGGUAAAAAUUUGUUCCCAGGAUGUAGGCUCUCUAUUUACCUCUCUUAUUGUUUCUCUUGCUGAGAAAAAACUUUUUAGUUUAAGUAAGUCCCAUUUGUUUAUUCUUGUUAUUAACUCUUGGGCUAUGGGUGUCCUAUUAAGGAAUUUGGAGCCCGACCCCACAGUAUGUAGCUCGUAGCCAACUUUUUAUUCUAUUAGACGCAGUGUCUCUGAUUUGAUAUCUAGCUCCUUGAUCCAUUUUGAGUUAACCUUUGUGCAUGGCGAGAGAAAGGGAUUCAGUUUCAUUUUGUUGCAUAUGGAUUUCCAAUUUUCCCAGCACCAUUUGUUGAAGAUGCUAUCCUUCCUCCAUUGCAUGUUUUUGGCCCCUUUAUCAAAUGUAAGAAAGUUGUAAUUUUGUGGAUUGGUCUCUGUGUCCUCUAUUCUGUACCAUUGGUCCACCCGCCUGUUUUGGUACCAGUACCAUGCUGUUUUUGUUACUAUUGCUCUG